GGCAACUUUCCCUGGGCCCAGCUUCCAUGGCUGACUUAAGUGUAAGGCCAGCCCAGCGGGAAGGAUGUAGGGAAGGAGAUUUAAAAACAGCAGCUGAAGCCCAGGCUCAAGUUGGGCAGGCAAUCUGCCAUUUAAAUAUCAGUAUCAGAGGAGUAGAAUAACAGCUGAUUGGACUACAGGGGUCGAAAUGCGGAGCAGAGAGAACGUACACGAAUGCCAGAUGACAUGAGGGUAAUGAAAGGCUGAAGAGGAAACCUAACAACUUCAGCCAAUUGUGUAUUUUAUGAAGAGGCAUCCAUUUGUCAACUCGAUUGGAAAUAAAUUAAUCUUAAACACUCAGAAACGUUACAGUAAAUACAUAUCUUAAUC